CGGAGAACGAGGGUGAGAUGGGCUUCAAGAGGGCGAGCGUCAUCACCCUAACCAAUCAGAUCGACGAUGACUGGUACGAGGGCAUGAUCAACGGCAAAUCAGGUUUCUUCCCCAUCAACUACGUAGAUAUCCUGGUUCCACUUCCUCAUUAGGCCGUUACCCCCCCGCCCAAUCCGCGCCCUUCCCCCCCCACCUCUGCCUAGCCUAAGCCACGCCUUCUUCUCUUGGCUUAUGUGAGUUCAGCCGCUUUUCACAACUUUGAGGAACAAACGUUUGUACAGGAUUCUGCUGAUAGACGAAGAAGAGGAGGAGAAUAAUAAAAGAGAGAUGAAGAAUCGUCUGCUUCAUCCCCCUUCAGUGGGAUCAGUGUGCUUGCGGUGUUGAAUGGAAGGGAUGAUUGUAAAGAUGGAGUCCUGUGUUUACCAGAGGAGGCUGGUGAGGGGAGGACGGCUCAUAAUAAAGACUGGAACCGAGAGAAUGGAAUGCCAUCGAACACAUAUAUCCUCCAGGAGGUUUUAACUCCAGCCCUGUUCCUGGAGAGAUACCCUCCAGGAGGUUUUAACCCCAACCCUGUUCCUGGAGAGAUAUCCUCCUGUAGGUUUUAACUCCAACCCUGUUCCUGGAGAGAUAUCCUCCUGUAGGUUUUAACUCCAGCCCUGUUCCUGGAGAGAUACCCUCCAGGAGGUUUUAACUCCAACCCUGUUCCUGGAGAGAUACCCUCCAGGAGGAUUUAACUCCAACCCUGUUCCUGGAGAGAUACCCUCCUGGAGGAUUUAACUCCAACCCUGUUCCUGGAGAAACAGAGUAGAGAGCUGGUUGAACUAACUAAACUGGUAGAAACAGUAGAGAGCUGGUUGUAUAGACUGUAAACGGGUCCAAUGUAUUGCAUGCUGGGACAAGCCAUUUAAUAACUGGUGAGGAUGAUGAGGAUGACGAUGUUGUUACAGAUGUACGUAAGCUUCUGUUGUGAUCUUUCUUAUAUUAUGUAUGUUAUACCUGUCAGAUGUCAAUAAACACUUUUCUC
rnacentral:lncRNA from 1 species